CCUACGGGAGACUGCAGUGAGGAAUAUUGGUCAAUGGACGAGAGUCUGAACCAGCCAAGUAGCGUGAAGGAUGACUGCCCUAUGGGUUGUAAACUUCUUUUAUAAAGGAAUAAAACGAGGCACGUGUGCCUUUUUGCAUGUACUUUAUGAAUAAGGAUCGGCUAACUCCGUGCCAGCAGCCGCGGUAAUACGGAGGAUCCGAGCGUUAUCCGGAUUUAUUGGGUUUAAAGGGAGCGUAGAUGGGUUGUUAAGUCAGUUGUGAAAGUUUGCGGCUCAACCGUAAAAUUGCAAUUGAUACUGGUAGUCUUGAGUACAGUUGAGGUAGGCGGAAUUCGUGGUGUAGCGGUGAAAUGCUUAGAUAUCACGAAGAACCCCGAUUGCGAAGGCAGCUUACUAAACUGUGACUGACAUUGAUGCUCGAAAGUGUGGGUAUCAAACAGGAUUAGAUACCCUUGUAGUC
rnacentral:rRNA from 1 species